ACAGAACAGAUAUAAUUCAUUAACACUACAUUAGACUUUUACAAUAUUACAAUUUACACUUGGCUUCACACUUCAGAACCAAAAACUCUUUGCUAAGUACUGCUUCACACUUGGCUUCACAUCUUUCACACUUGGCUUCACAGCUUCACACUCCAAAAAAAUAGGCCUGGAGCUCCUGUAAAAGAAUGAACAUAAAGGCCACCAAAAUUUGAGUGUACUGCUGCUGAGGCUAGAACCAAACAACUUCAAUAUUACAAUAAAAAGAAUUCUCAGGUUUAUCAAGCACAGCAAAGCAGCAGUGUGGCCAUCAGUCAGAUCUGAAUAUACAACAAAAGAGGUCUCAGGUUUAGACUGAAAAGGAAGAGCUAGUUAUGCAUGAUGUCUCAGGUUUAAACAAAAGAUCAAGACCACAAUUUUAACAAGAGAUAUAUAGUCAGUCCAAUUGAACAAAACCUAGACAGUUGCAUUAUGAGUAUUUAAGUGGAGAUGUAGCAGGCAAUCAAAUGAAUAUAUUCUGGAGAUGAUGAAUAAAAUUAGGCAAUCAACAGCUUAAGCAUCACAAGAAUGAGAAGAACAAGAAUGUGUUAGCAGCACAAGAAUUAGUAGCACAUACAUGUCUGCAUGAUCCAACAAGAAUGAUUAUAUUCAAUUUUGUUAGCAGCACAAGAAUGAGCAAUAGCAGCACAAGCAGCACCACCACCAGCACAAGUGCACACCUAUUCAAGCAAGCAGCUAGCAGUAGAAGCAUUCAAACAGCAGCAGCACUGUCACAUGUCAUAUCUUAUAAACUUAGGCAUGUGUUCUCAGGUUAUCCUUAACAUCACGCACUAACUUGGGUAAUUAGCAGCAAACAAUACAUAUCAGUACAAGGCUAGGCAAGAUAAUAAAGACUUGGGAAAAGAUAGCAGAUUUAAAAAAAUGAUACAUGCCCUUGAAGAGAGGGCAGUGGCAAGCGUGACCAUGAACAUAUGCAUUAGCCGCACCCACGACCCCUGGAUGCUCUCACGACUGAAAAGGAGGUUCCUUGCAUAUGGUCUCCUUCGGGUCUGCGAGAGAAAGAACGAGGUGAGGGCCAGAUCAGCUUAAGCAUACAAGCACACUAUAGCCUACAAACGUAUCAGUAUACAGGCAGCAAUAGUAUCCUCGAGCACAGCAAAACAGUAGCUUGACCCAUAUAAGUCAUAACUCUGAAGAAAGAAAGAAAGAACAGGUUCAGCUAGCUAAGUAUUCAGAGUUGAGAGCUAAGUAAUUUGUUUGUUUAUGCUGUAACUGACAGACCUAGUAUGAGAAACAAGCAAAGUAAAACAGUAUUGAUUCGAUGGCAAAACAAGCUAAGCUACUUAGCUAGUAGGUGACCAUCCAAUCCAUGAUGCAGCAGCAGGUGCAAAUAUAAUAUGAUGUGAAGAAGACGCUAGCUGGAGUGGUGGGGGAUGAAACCAAAAUUACAAAGCAUAGUCGGACGCUGGAACCAAAAAAACUAGAUGAAUCUCACUAACAGGAGCACUAGGUGAUUAAUGGAAGAAGUAAUCUGCAAAUUACAAAGUGAACAAGUGAAGGAUUUAUAUCUCUCUGUGUGGAACAACUAAGUUGAUGAAGACAUGCAGCAUCAACAGCGAAGCCUUGCAUCAUUUGUUUGGUCGGGUCGACGCUGGAAAGAGCGCCGCUGUACAUGAUCAGCACAUGAGUGGCUCAACCUCUCUAUCCCCUACCUCAACUUGCCCGUGUGGUUG
rnacentral:lncRNA from 1 species